UAACACGUGGGUGACCUGCCCCCUACUCUGGGAUAAGCCUGGGAAACUGGGUCUAAUACCAGAUAUGACUCUGGGUUGCAUGACCUUGGGUGGAAAGUCCAUUCUUUUGGGGAUGGUGUGGUGGGGGAUGGGCCCGCGGCCUAUCAGCUUGUUGGUGGGGUGAUGGCCUACCAAGGCUUCGACGGGUAGCCGGCCUGAGAGGGCGUCCGGCCACACUGGGACUGAGACACGGCCCAG
rnacentral:rRNA from 1 species